rnacentral:rRNA from 1 species
GACGUAGGGCGCGAGCGUUGUCCGGAUUUAUUGGGCGUAAAGAGCUCGUAGGCGGCUCAUUGCGUCAACCGUGAAAACCAGCAGCUCAACUGUUGGCUUGCGGUUGAUACGGGUGGGCUGGAGUUCGGUAGGGGAGACUGGAAUUCCUGGUGUAGCGGUGAAAUGCGCAGAUAUCAGGAGGAACACCGGUGGCGAAGGCGGGUCUCUGGGUCGAUACUGACGCUGAGGAGCGAAAGCGUGGGGAGCGAACAGG